GUGGUGACCAUAAGAAGACAAGUCAUGGAGAAUCCAAAGAGGAUAAGAGCUGAACCAAGUCCUGUGAGAAUUGGUGCUGGCUGGUGGCGCACUUGGUUGAGUGUACACAGUACAGUUUUCUGUCAUUAUCAUGUCUGCCCAGAAGACUGAGAUGGCUCACCAGGUUCCAGAUGCCAUCAGGAUGCUGGCCAGGCUUCCCUGGAUUGAAGACCCCACCAAUGUGUCCUGGAGCUCGGCUUCCCCAGAGACCCACCCUACUAGGGAAAGAGAAAGGCAGACUGGGAGUAUGGACUGACCAGUCAACGCCCAUGUUCAGUGGGGAAGCAAUUACAGAAGCCAGACCUUCUACCUUCUGCAACCCACAAUGACCCUGGGUCCAUGCUCCCAGAGGGAUAGAUAAUGGGAAAGCUAUCAGGGGAGGGGGUGGGAUAUGGAGAUUGGGUGGUGGGAAUUGUGUGGAGUUGUACCCCUUCUACCCUA